UACGUAGGAGACGAGCGUUGUCCGGAGUUACUGGGCGUAAAGGGUGCGCAGGCGGCCUUGCGCGUCGCGAGUGAAAUCUCCCGGCUCAACUGGGAGGGUGGUCGCGAGACGGCAGGGCUUGAGGCUCGGUGAGGGGCGUGGAAUUCCCCAAGUAGAGGUGAAAUUCGUAGAUAUGGGGAGGAACACCGGUGGCGAAGGCGGCCACCUGGACGGAUACUGACGCUGAGACGCGAAAGCGUGGGGAGCAAACAGG
rnacentral:rRNA from 1 species